GCAGCAGCAGCAAGGUUUGGGCACGGGGGCUAGUUGGUAUUCCAUGGUAGCUUCCAGGUAACAUCGAGUGCCGACAAAGCUCUUCCCGAAGAAGAGCUACUCGCACGUGCUGAACGCCGACGUGAACAAAAAGCGGCGGUGCGAGCGGCGCGCCUUCGACCGAAUACCCCUGACGACGAUCGGGCCAGGGAGGCGAAACGCAAGGGCGACGCACACGGAGGCCCCGCAUAUCGCGCACUGCAAAACGCACGCCGCCGUCGUGAAGUCCCACCACCGGAACGUUUCCCGGGUGCGUGCGACGUCGAGGUUCCGGAAAGAGUUCAUCGAGAAACCCGUUUGGCGCCACCUGUGUCGUGUGACCGUCUUUGGUUCGCUGGAGACUUGGCCACGGCGUGCGUGAUCGCGCAAUGGAGUGAAAUGGCCGCCGAGUCGUUACCUCAGCUCCUGCCGAACGUAGGUGGAAGACCCUGACAAGCGAUUCGGAAGAGCAGAGUUCUACGCCGCCGGAGGAACCCUUCUCCGCUGACCUGCGGCUGCUCUGAAACGUGAUGACUACUACUACUACUACCAGCGACGGGCAGAACGUCGAAGACGAUGACGCGAAGUUGACGUGAUGAAAGGCGUGCUCAUACGAUGGAGUCAUUCGCGGUAUAUCCACACCGUGUGCAUUCCUUGGCUCCGCGAAUAUCAGAGUUGAUAUUGCUUGGGACAAGGAAUCGGGUCACGUAUGAAGAAUCGAAGCUGUUGUCAUAAUGCGAUCGGGAGGAAGAUUAAAAGGGAGAUGAGCAUUGUCGCUUGA